rnacentral:rRNA from 1 species
AUACGUAGGGGGCAAGCGUUAUCCGGAAUUACUGGGUGUAAAGGGAGCGUAGGCGGUUUGGUAAGUUGAGUGUGAAAUCUACCGGCUUAACUGGUAGGCUGCGCUCAAAACUACCAAACUUGAGUGAAGUAGAGGCAGGCGGAAUUCCCGGUGUAGCGGUGGAAUGCGUAGAUAUCGGGAGGAACACCAGUGGCGAAGGCGGCCUGCUGGGCUUUUACUGACGCUGAGGCUCGAAAGCAUGGGGAGC